rnacentral:rRNA from 1 species
CCUACGGGAGGCAGCAGUGAGGAAUAUUGGUCAAUGGCCGGAAGGCUGAACCAGCCAUGCCGCGUGAAGGUCAGUGCCCUAUGGGCGUUAAACUUCUUUUGUGCGGGAGCAAUAAUGGUCACGUGUGGCCAGACGAGAGUACCGUACGAAUAAGCAUCGGCUAACUCCGUGCCAGCAGCCGCGGUAAUACGGGGGAUGCAAGCGUUAGCCGGAUUUAAUGGGUUUAAAGGGUGCGUAAGCUGUGAUGUAAGUCAGCGGUGAAAUGCCCCCGCUCAACGGGGUGAAGUGCAAGGGAUACUGCCAUGCUGGAAUGCGGAUGCCGUUGGAAGAAUGUGUGGUGUAGCGGUGAAAUGCGUAGAUAUCA